CAGAAAGGAAAAUGAUUGGUUUACAGAUUCAACCAAUGAAAUUGAAGCAGAGGCGGAGUCAGGAAAUUUUAACGUGUGGAAGGAAUACUUCAGACAGAUACGUUACUGACGCUUCGUGGGAGGCAUUUAUUGCAAGAAUAACAUUCUUGGAAAAGGUAGAAGCCAUCAUUGGUCCCUUCUUGGAGAAAGGACAUUUCUGGACUUUCUUUAUGCUGGGCAGUGAGCUGUUCAUAUAUGUAAUGUUCCUGGUUUGCAAGUUUGCUCCACAAAAGAAAUUGGUCCAGGAAAUAUAUGGAAAUGAGGAUGUUCAUGAUUCAAUGUCCAAAACU